CCUACGGGUGGCUGCAGUGAGGAAUAUUGGUCAAUGGGCGCGAGCCUGAACCAGCCAAGUCGCGUGAAGGAUGACUGCCCUACGGGUUGUAAACUUCUUUUAUAAAAGAAUAAACUGAGACACGUGUGCCUUUCUGUAUGUACUUUAUGAAUAAGGAUCGGCUAACUCCGUGCCAGCAGCCGCGGUAAUACGGAGGAUGCGAGCGUUAUCCGGAUUUAUUGGGUUUAAAGGGUGCGUAGGCGGAGCGUUAAGUCAGUGGUAAAAUGCGGGGGCUCAACCCCUACACGCCAUUGAGACUGGCGGGCUUGAGGGGAAGAGAGGUAUGCGGAAUGCGUGGUGUAGCGGUGAAAUGCAUAGAGAUCACACAGAACCCCGAUUGCGAAGGCAGCAUACCGGGUUCCUACUGACGCUGAGGCACGAAAGCGUGGGGAGCGAACAGGAUUAGAUACCCGAGUAGUC
rnacentral:rRNA from 1 species